rnacentral:rRNA from 1 species
UACAGAGGGUGCAAGCGUUGCUCGGAAUUAUUGGGCGUAAAGGGUAGGUAGGUGGUCUCAUUUGUCUGGGGUGAAAGCCUUGAGCUUAACUCAAGAAGUGCCUCGGAAACGGUGAGACUAGAGUAUUGGAGAGGGUCGUGGAAUUCCCGGUGUAGCGGUGAAAUGCGUAGAGAUCGGGAGGAACACCAGUAGCGAAGGCGGCGACCUGGACAAUAACUGACACUCAACUACGAAAGCGUGGGGAGCAAACAGG